rnacentral:lncRNA from 1 species
UAGGCUUGGUGUCCUUAUCCAUUAUCAGCUGUUGUGGGAAAUCGAUCAUAGCUCGUGAAGUUUGCUACUAAUAGUCGCCUCUAAUCUUUAUACACCACUCCUCAGCCUACCGCUUGUGCGCAAAGGUAAAUUUUCAUCUCUCAAUUACAACUCUUAAACAUUCAUAUGUUAUUUUCUAUAAGUAUAUACGUAAAACAUAUGUAUAUACGUAUAUGUAUUGAAAGAUCUAGGGCUUGAUGAUAUAAUAAUAUGUAUGCAAUAGAAGGAACUGUUAAUAAAUUUAGGAAUAUGUAGAAUUGGUGUUAAAUCUGUAUAUUAUAUCCCCUCCGUUUUUGCACCCAAAAUAGAAAUAUUCCUUCUGUUUACUUUCAAAAGUCUAUAUAAGAUAUUUUCAACUUAAAAUUUUGAUGUUGUUUAGUUGUACUUAAAUAGUUCAUAAUUUUCAUAGUUGUAAUGUAUAAAAUUAAAUGAAUUUUAUUAAUUUUGAUUUUAAAAAUAUCUCAAUUUGACUUAAAAAAUAAAUAAUCCUAUAUUUUGGUAGGGAGGGAGUAUUAAAUACAUGAGAUUUGAACUGUUAAAUUAUUGCUAAUAUUUUUAGGAACCACCUACACUAUUACACCCUUCCAAUUACUUUUUCAUUUUUUUAUGCUCUACAUUAUAGAUAGUCAUUAAUUUUAGACUAAGUGGUAUGAAUAUUCUAUGUAUUGAGUAUUAUAAUGCCACCAAUACUGCAUUUCUAUCUAAUGUUGGGGAUAUGUUUAGAAAAAUAAAUUGUUCCUUGAAAGUCAGUAGUUUUAGAAACCUAUCUAGUGGAAUGGAGAGAGUACUUGAUACUGGUUUUAUUUAAUCAAUUGGAAAAUUGAAGAAAUAUUACAAUGUACACGAUUCAAGAUUUUUUAUGUACUUGUCACAUGAUAAAAGCGAGAUAGACACACUGCGAUAGUAAGGAUGUUAUUAUGGCACUAAAGUGUAAUUAAGUGGGAGUGAUAGUGGGAGAGCAGAUAGUGAGAGUGAGAGUGAUAGUACUUCUAAGGUGUCACCAAUUUUGAUGACAAAUGAAUUUGGAACUGGAGUAAUGUCAACCCAUGAUUCUCAUCCUUGAGAAUCGGAAGACCACCAACCUCAUCUUGUAAUAACAUUGUCAAUGUAUGAGGGUCCAAAUGACUUUCCAAUCUCAAACACUUUUCCGGGAGUGGACAAAAUGGAUACUGGUGUCAUUAGGGAGGCCUUAUCCGUGAGUUAACAUUUCUAUAACUUUCAUUCUUAAUGUGCAAUUUAUUUAUGUAGUCAAUCUUUGCAUCAAUGAAACAAAUGUAAAUAAAAAGAAAAUGAACUCAAGUCCUUAAAGAAGGAAAAGCUAAUAUUUUUAUGCGCGUCUUGAAUUCUAGUCUUGAAUCUGACAGUACUAAUACCUGCAUAAUAUUUUUCAGUGACCUAAAGGAGAAGAAAAGUGAGGCUUAGUGGUUGAAGUGGAGGAGUGAUGCCAAUAAGGUUUCAGAUCUUUCUAAUUCAAAAAUAAAAUAAAAUUAGCCACCUUUAAACCUAAAGAAAAUUACAAUUUUCUUUAUAAAUCCCAUGUUCGUAAGCUUUUUUUUAAGUUAAGAAAGCUCUUGAAAGGUAAAGAAAAUUAGAUCCAAUUUUUCUUGGAAACUUUCCUAGGUAAAACCAUAGGAAAGCUAAGGAUUGGAAAAUGAGCUUAAUAAAUUUCUUUGUAUUUCUAAAUCACCCUUAACAUUAACAUAGGAAAAUAAAUUUGGACAUCCAUAUCCUAUGCAUAAUGACACUUUCUCGCUUCGUGCUAAUCAACGGUGAUUACAAUAUCUGGUAACCCUGUCAUAGUAAACUUACAAACAGAACUAAGGAAAGUAAAUUUCCUGUCCUUUCCUAUCCUAUCAUUUCCAUACUUAAAAAUCCUUAGCAUUCCUUACCCCAAAAACUUACAAAAAGGUGUUAGUGAGGCAAACAGUUGGGUCUAUUGGGUGUUUUGGGGUGUGAUCUCUUCACAGUUUGUAUUCUCCACAUGAAUAUCCUCUGCCUCCCGCCCGUAGUUUAUAUCGGAUUGGGUUUUUACAUAAAUCUUGUGUUAUUGUCAUUUAUUUUUCUUCGUUGAUUUCUGUCCAUAGUUUGUUGUGACAAAUAUAUAGUCAUAAAUCAUAGAAUUAUUCUUAGAGUUGAUAAACAAAAUUUUAUAAGAAGUUCUUAAUAGGUUGAUAUUGAUCGCCAAGCACCUUUCUGUGGAAACCCACUGGCUGCUAGGGGGAUUGAAGUACCUGUAUGAUCUCUGCCAGGGCAAUUUAUCUCCGUAAUCAGGUUUAGUGGCACAAUUACCUAGUGGCAGGUUUGCAGAUCUAGAAACCUUCGCUUCUGCUCUGUGGAAGAUCAAAAAAACUCGUGCAAGUGCCUCUUGAUGCUCUUAAUUAACGUGUGAUUUCUGGUCUAGUGAAUAAAGUGGCUCAACGUGUUGUAUUCACAGAGAGAUUGUUGUCAUCUUGGUGAUAGAUAAGGUCUAUUCAAAGAAUCCAGUGGAUUCUAGUGUCAUUAUUGUGUGAUGACUAGCUAAUUGAAUAGAACAAGCCCUAAUUAUCUGGUUUUUUAUUCUAACAAUAUUUUCAGUCUCUAUUACAAUAAAUAAAUAAAUAAAAAUUUGAAAAACUAAUGAUCCAUAUAGAUCCCAAAGAUGCAUUGUUAAGCUAGGUGUUGAUAAUAUGUACGUAGGCAGCCUUUAGGACUAACGAAUUUGAUACAAACUAAGCGAUCGAAGAUUAAACUCCAUAACAAAUGACAAAAUAAUUCAUAUAAGAUUACAAAAUGAAGAAAUCUCUGGUGAUUUUGUUACACAAAAUCAUAGAUAUUAAGUACAACAAAACCGAGUAACCUUUCAGUAGCAUAUAUGUCAUCCUUUUUCCUCUAAAUUGCACCUAGAAAUCAAAUAUGAGAAAAAUACUGAAGCUAAAGCAACCUAUCAUAAAUGGCCUAGCUAAUCAUAAUCAACAACACUAAAUCUGAACUGCUCUGCCUGCAUGUAACAACAAUACCUCUUGAUCACAUGGAAUCAAGUUCGUUGCACCUAGUCUUUUUGCUUGAUGUCAUAUCAUUGUUGUCUAUCGUUUUAGGGUUCUAGGUUCAAGUCAAAUUCUGGUACAUUGUUCCCAACCUCUCUUGCCUCCAUAGCUGCAGACGGAAAAUAUCUUGUCAAACACACAAAUAGAGUCACUAUGUGUCUGUGUGUUUGUGUGUGUGUCAAUAAUAGAGGUGCAAAGUCGUGCACGUGCGCCAUAAAUAGAAAAAUUAUUUUUUUUGUAUUAAAAAAAGUUGCAUUUAGUUGGCAUUGUUUGUCCAUUUUUACAUACAAAUGGAACUUUUUUCUUAUAAAAAUGCAAUUAUUUUGUAUAGCUAAUAAGCAUGUUCACGGCGUGUACCUCUUUCUCUGUGUGUGUGUCUAUAUAUAUAUAUAUACACAGAGAGAGAGAGAGAGAAAAAAAAACCUCGACUGAGAUCAGGUGGCUGCAAGGUCUUUUGAAGUCUCACCGAAUCGUGAAACAUUAAGGUGUUGUGGGACAUAAUUUCUUUCUUUACCGUAGCCUUGAGGCGACAAAAUUUAUAACCCUGAUUCCAGUUUUUCUCUUUCUGAUGCACAGAUGGAAUGAUCAGAUAUUCAACUUUGAGGAAGCUAAGAGCCUGAAAAAUCACUCAUCAUCAGAACUUGUUCCGCUAGAAUUAGAUAAAGAGGUCUAGCAGACGAGGAACACAAGUCAAUGAUAGUAGGUGAUUAUUUUAGGGGGAAAAAGAAUGCUUGUAGUAGUUACAUUACCAAGAAAAUGAAAUAAUUCCACCUUUUUAUAUGCACUUCGAGUUCAAUGCUGAUGCUCAUAAUUCCCUUGAAUAAAACAUAAUCUCUUGCUUUUAUCUUGUCAAUUCAAUAUUUUGCAAAAUUUUGGAACAAGUUGAAAAGUCUGUAUGUUUCUCUUUUUAGGACAUUGGAAGACGAGUUUAUAUAUGUUUUAUAGUUUCAUAAUUUCAUGCUUACUAUCUCUUUCCACAAAUUCAGGUGUGAGUUGCAUUCAUUUAAACUCCUUUCAAAGAUUCAAGCAGAACUUACCGACUCAAUUGCACACAUCAAUUUUCGGCACAUUCCCUUGCCCCUAUGGAUUUCCCUUGUCGCAAUAAAUGGCAUCUCCGCCAGCUUCAUUCCAUGAAUUCUUAAGGGCAUUCAGAGAACAGCAUAAGACAAAUAUACAGGUACACUUGCUACAACAAACACAAUAUUUUUAUGUACACAUAUAUGUGAAAUUAGAUUAAUAUACCUUAGGGAUGCUGCAGAGAUAAUUUCUCCAUCCUUUUCCAAUACUGCGGUGUAAAAGCCUCUAAAAUUGAUCCGAGUAUAGUUUGACCUGCAAAUUUCUUGUUUUUUUUUUAAAUUACCAUGCUAGAAGAAAGAUUAUUUCAAUGGAUUUAUUUCAAUUAUAGUAGAAUAGAUAUAGCACUCACCCGCAAUUAUAUACUAUACUCUGUAUUAUAUCAAUCUUAGUGUGUCGAUCAGUGAUGGGUUCGAAGCUGUCCUUCAUAACACUCCGUGCUAUUGCUAGCUUUGAGUGACAUUCAAUUCUUUUAUAGAAAUCAUGUACUCCAUCAUCAGAGUACUCUUCAUCCAUUCGCUUUAGUAAAGUCCAAGUGUAUCUGUCAUCUAGCUUAUUAUUCACCCCAACCAUCAUCUCUAGUUUCUCACAAACCUUAACAAACAACAAUCAGUUUAGUCAUUUCAAAAAAUUCCCCCUUCUUAAAAGUAAAAAGAAUGUGCAUUGGGUACAACUUAUUUUAUUUUAUUCUGAGCACAAAUGACACUUAAAACUACAACUCUUUAUAAUGCGUCAUUGUGUUUGUAGGACUAGAAUGCAGGACUAAAAGAGUACGACUCUGAAUUGGGAGAGAGCUUAAAAAGUUAGAACUUAGAAGAAAUACCUCUUUGCAGCUUUGCUCACAAAAUGGGGGACAAGGAGGACUAUUAACAUCGAUGAGUAUAGGUUCUCUCUCCUGAUAGCAUUCCCAAUGAUCUACAUAACAAAAACAUUUAACACUCUUAUUUCAGCCUUAGCCUUCUUUUCUAUAAAAUUGUGCAUUCCUGCUUCAAUUCCAAACCAAGUACUCAAGAAUUAGAAAAUCAAUCUACAUACAGUUCUUCUCGCAUUGAGAACACGUGAGCAAAUAAUCGUUCUCACGAGCAGGAUCCCCACACAAUUUGCAAAUGCAAUAAGGGCAAAGCCAAGAAUUUUCAGGGAUCUCCUGCAAAAACCAAAAUUUAAGAAUUUACCAAUUUUUUAUGGUAAUAGUCUAAUCGAAUUGGACCAAAUUAAGUAAUUGCUUAAAAAUUAAGCAAAUAAAUAGACUGACCUCCAUAUCCAUACAGCGGUGAUGGUAAGUUGAAUUGCAUUUGUCACAGCACAUCAAUUCUCCCCCGUCUGCACAGAUCAUACACGCGUCAUCAUAAAUGUCACUCGAACCACCUUCACCCUCAAUUGUGUUGAAUUUGUGGCGUGCUGAUUCUCUAGGUUGAUUCCAGGCUUCAUUCAUGCAGGAGAGGAGCGAACUUCGUGUCUCCAUGAUGAAAAUGUUCUCAAAAGGCUUUCCAAUUUCCCAACCGGCAUGAGCCUGGAAAUGCUCUGCUGUCAAAACCUGGAUGCAACAAACGCAUAAUAUGCCAGCCCUGGUAAUUUUCCCUUCCUUUAAGGGUAUUUUGGCAUUGUUGUCCAAAUAACAAACAGGUGCAUUUUCUUGAACUCUUUUGCAGUCUAUUAACCAUGACAAUAUUGUUUUUUCAUUUUCCCUCUUCUUUGAAGGACGACCGCGUCUUCCCUUAGAUACCGGAGUCCUCACUGGUGGUUCAUUUGCAACAAAAUUACUAGAAUUUUCUGAAGUGUUUGAACUAUUGCUCAAGUUCUUGGAUAUUCCAGCCAUUUC